rnacentral:rRNA from 1 species
AUUGAACGCUGGCGGCAUGCCUUACACAUGCAAGUCGAACGGCAGCGCGGGGCAACCUGGCGGCGAGUGGCGAACGGGUGAGUAACAUAUCGGAACAUACCCUAGAGUGGGGGAUAACGUAGCGAAAGUUACGCUAAUACCGCAUACGCACUAAGGUGGAAAGUGGGGGAUUCGCAAGAACCUCAUGCUCAUGGAGUGGCCGAUAUCUGAUUAGCUAGUUGGUGAGGUAAAGGCUCACCAAGGCGACGAUCAGUAGCUGGUUUGAGAGAACGACCAGCCACACUGGAACUGAGACACGGUCCAGACUCCUACGGGAGGCAGCAGUGGGAAUUUUGGACAAAUGGGGGGCAACCCUGAUCCAGCAAUGCCGCGUGAGUGAAGAAGGCCUUCGGGUUGUAAA